rnacentral:rRNA from 1 species
CCUACGGGUGGCAGCAGUGAGGAAUAUUGGUCAAUGGACGAGAGUCUGAACCAGCCAAGUAGCGUGAAGGAUGACUGCCCUAUGGGUUGUAAACUUCUUUUAUAAAGGAAUAAAACGAGGCACGUGUGCCUUUUUGCAUGUACUUUAUGAAUAAGGAUCGGCUAACUCCGUGCCAGCAGCCGCGGUAAUACGGAGGAUCCGAGCGUUAUCCGGAUUUAUUGGGUUUAAAGGGAGCGUAGAUGGGUUGUUAAGUCAGUUGUGAAAGUUUGCGGCUCAACCGUAAAAUUGCAAUUGAUACUGGCAGUCGUGAGUACAGUUGAGGUAGGCGGAAUUCGUGGUGUAGCGGUGAAAUGCUUAGUUAUCACGAAGAACCCCGAUUGCGAAGGCAGCUUACUAAACUGUGACUGACAUUGAUGCUCGAAAGUGUGGGUAUCAAACAGGAUUAGAUACCCCAGUAGUC